rnacentral:rRNA from 1 species
GUGUCAGCAGCCGCGGUAAGACAGAGGAGCCAAGCGUUGUCCGGAUUGACUGGGCGUAAAGCGCACGCAGGCGGCCGCGCACGUGGGGUGUGAAAUCGCUCGGCUUAACCGAGCGCCGCCACCUCAUACGGCGCGGCUCGAGCCCGAGAGAGGUCCGUGGAAUUGCCGGUGUAGUGGUGAAAUGCGUAGAGAUCGGCAGGAACACCCAGGGGGAAGCCAGCGGACUGGCUCGGUGCUGACGCUCAGGUGCGAGAGCGUGGGGAGCGAACUGGAUUAGAUACCCUUGUAGUCC